CAAGGUGUGUGGACUCUUUAGCCAAUGAAAGAGUUAGAAAUGUAUCUCUCGUGCUGAAACACACCAAAUACCAGCAGACACUGCGGCCCUCCAGGACUGGAGUUAAACCAGCAGACACUGCGGCCCUCCAGGACUGGAGUUUGACACCCCUGAUGCAAACACUCUUGAAGCCUGGAUUUAAAACCACAUACAUCACAAUCACAGAGAGAGACCGGCAGCUUCCCUGGUCCUGCUGACCAUACCUCUGACAGCUGAGGAUACACCAUCGGCGACCCAUGGAUCUAGCGAUCCUGAGAACGGCACGUCUUCUUCAAGCAGCAUCGUCUCAGCGCCCGUGACCGUGAUUCCGGUUGCGAUUCUUCGUGGCGAUCCAAAUGGCACCACUGCACAGGAGCCUGUCUGUCGAAGAGCGCCUGGGUUCAGCGGUCACCUCAGGACCCCGGGUCUCUGUGCCUUCGCCUGCCCAUCCGUUUCAAUCCGUUCAACCCAGGGGUGCGCAACAAGGGCCCAUCCGUUUCAGGAUUUUGUGCCAACUUAAUUAUUUAAUUGACUGUCAUAUCUCAUGUGUUUGGGUACCAGCUACAGCUGCAAAUGUAUCCUCAUGUGCUCCAGUACAGGCUUGAACCAGGGUCAUUUAUAGAGCUGUCAGCAAAACAAGGCAAUUGGUAGGAACAAAAACCAGUACGCAGACUAGCCCGUGAGGAGUUGUGCACCCAUGGUUUAACCCCUCCCUACCCUCAGCACUCAUUUACUCAAGGUUGCCAAGCAGUCCGCGUCCUGACAAACGAUCGAUUGUUCAUUUUAUGCCAAACGGAAGCCUGGGAUCGACCUGAGGGACGAAUGCCCCAUGCCCCGAGACGGACACGCUUGCUGCUUUUAUUUUUGCACUCGGUGGAGAGUGGAAGGAUGAUCACUGUAAAAUCUAAUCAUUGAUCUGGUUCUGUGGAUUUCAGUUAUGUUCUGUCAUGAAAAAUUUUGAAACAGACUAAAAUAAACUGCUAAACAAUGAAA